GUAGGUGGCAAGCGUUGUCCGGAGUUAUUGGGCGUAAAGCGCGCGCAGGUGGUUCUUUAAGUCUGAUGUGAAAGCCCCCGGCUCAACCGGGGAGGGUCAUUGGAAACUGGGGAACUUGAGUGCAGGAGAGGAAAGUGGAAUUCCACGUGUAGCGGUGAAAUGCGUAGAUAUGUGGAGGAACACCAGUGGCGAAGGCGACUUUCUGGCCUGUAACUGACACUGAGGCGCGAAAGCGUGGGGAGCAAACAGGGAUUAGAUACCCUGGUAGUCCACGCCGUAAACGAUGAGUGCUAAGUGUUGGGGGGGUUUCCCGCCCCUCAGUGCUGCAGCUAACGCAUUAAGCACUCCGCCUGGGGAUACGGCCGCAAGACUG
rnacentral:rRNA from 1 species